rnacentral:rRNA from 1 species
AAAGCGUGCGCAGGCGGUUUUGUAAGACUGUCGUGAAAUCCCCGGGCUCAACCUGGGAAUGGCGAUGGUGACUGCAAGGCUAGAGUUUGGCAGAGGAGGGUAGAAUUCCACGUGUAGCAGUGAAAUGCGUAGAUAUGUGGAGGAACACCGAUGGCGAAGGCAGCCCCCUGGGUCAAAACUGACGCUCAUGCACGAAAGCGUGGGGAGCAAACAGGAUUAGAUACCCCAGU